rnacentral:rRNA from 1 species
CCUACGGGUGGCAGCAGUGAGGAAUAUUGGUCAAUGGGCGUAAGCCUGAACCAGCCAAGUAGCGUGAAGGAUGAAGGCCCUAUGGGUUGUAAACUUCUUUUAUAAGGGAAUAAAGUGCGGGACGUGUGCUGUUUUGUAUGUACCUUAUGAAUAAGGAUCGGCUAACUCCGUGCCAGCAGCCGCGGUAAUACGGAGGAUCCGAGCGUUAUCCGGAUUUAUUGGGUUUAAAGGGAGCGUAGAUGGGGUGUUAAGUCAGUUGUGAAAGGUUGCGGCUCAACCGUAAAAUUGCAAUGGAUACUGGCAGGCUUGAGUACAGGUGAGGUAGGCGGAAUUCGUGGUGUAGCGGUGAAAUGCUUAGAUAUCACGAAGAACUCCGAUUGCGAAGGCAGCUUACUAAACUGCAACUGACGUUGAUGCUCGAAAGCGUGGGUAUCAAACAGGAUUAGAUACCCUGGUAGUC